rnacentral:rRNA from 1 species
UACAGAGGGUGCAAGCGUUGUUCGGAAUUAUUGGGCGUAAAGGGCGCGUAGGCGGUGCGGUAAGUCUGUAGUGAAAUCUCUGGGCUCAACUCAGAGUCUGCUGCAGAAACUGCCGUGCUUGAGUGUGGGAGAGGUGAGUGGAAUUCCCGGUGUAGAGGUGAAAUUCGUAGAUAUCAGGAGGAACACCGGUGGCGAAGGCGGCCAUCUGGACGACAACUGACGCUGAGGCGCGAAAGCGUGGGGAUCAAACAGG